CUACGGGGGGCUCCAGCAAGGAAUAUUGCCCAAUGGACGGAAGUCUGAGGCAGCAACACCGCGUGAAGGACGAAGGCCUUCGGGUUGUAAACUUCUUUUCUGGGAGAAGAGAGAGGACGGUAUCCCAGGAUUAAGUCUCGGCUAACUACGUGCCAGCAGCCGCGGUAAAACGUAGGAGGCAAGCGUUAUCCGGAAUUACUGGGCGUAAAGCGCAUGCAGGCGGUCUUUUAAGUCGGACGUGAAAGCUCCCGGCUCAACUGGGAGAGGCCGUUCGAAACUAGAAGACUAGAGGGUGGUAGAGGUGAGUGGAAUUCCCGGUGUAGUGGUGAAAUGCGUAGAUAUCGGGAGGAACACCAGUGGCGAAGGCGGCUCACUGGGCCACAACUGACGCUCAGAUGCGAAAGCUAGGGGAGAGAACGGGAUUAGAUACCCGUGUAGUC
rnacentral:rRNA from 1 species